UGGGGAAUAUUGGACAAUGGGCGAAAGCCUGAUCCAGCCAUGCCGCGUGUGUGAAGAAGGUCUUCGGAUUGUAAAGCACUUUAAGUUGGGAGGAAGGGCAGUAAGCGAAUACCUUGCUGUUUUGACGUUACCGACAGAAUAAGCACCGGCUAACUCUGUGCCAGCAGCCGCGGUAAUACAGAGGGUGCAAGCGUUAAUCGGAAUUACUGGGCGUAAAGCGCGCGUAGGUGGUUCGUUAAGUUGAAUGUGAAAGCCCCGGGCUCAACCUGGGAACUGCAUCCAAAACUGGCGAGCUAGAGUAGGGCAGAGGGUGGUGGAAUUUCCUGGGUAGCGGUGAAAUGCGUAGAGAUAGGAAGGAACACCAGUGGCGAAGGCGACCACCUGGGCUCAUACUGACACUGAGGUGCGAAAGCGUGGGGAGCAAACAGG
rnacentral:rRNA from 1 species